AUGCUGAAUACGUCGAUGAGUUUGUUUUUUGGUACCUUUGAUGGUUUUGUGAUUAUGUUAUAUUACAUGGGUUAUGCUGCCUUUAUACUUUCCUCUAAUCUGAUUGGUGUUUUGAGAUGAUUUGUUCAGUUGUGCAAGCAAAUUGUUUGUUUUUUUUAAUGACUUGACCAAACAUUAAUUUUCUUGCAGUUUGAAUAUGGAAAAGAAAAUCUGCAUCCAACUUCUUUCCCUGCCAAGAACAAAUCCGAGGCACAGAUGUGCGAGGCUACAAGUAGCUCAGGAUUAUGCACCCCCAGCCUGAAGUCCCACUUAGCCUAUCAGGUCAUGGCAUCCAGAGAAGCAGCAGCAGUAGCCUCAUUGCCAAAGCCAAAUAACGCCAUUGAGACCCUGAUUACUGUCAUCAGCUGGAAGGACUGGUCACCCCAAGAUGAUGGCAUUGAGGUUAUCUUGCCUUCAACUGAGAUACCUUCAUCGAAGGAAGAUGUGGAUGCAUCCGGCACUGCUUUGCUGAGUCUUGUCUAUGGUCCUUCUACUAGAAGAAGGAGAUUGCCACUGUUUGCUGAAAUUUGCCCAGAGUAGUGAAUCUGAUGUGUGUAGACUGUAGAGACUAUAGAACCUCCAUUUCAGACAAAAGGUAUACCGCACCAUAUAUUCAUCCAGUUAGAUUCGGGUAUAUGCUUUGAUUACAUACUUCAGACAAAAGAUUGAGGAAAACUGGUUGCCAACCAUACUUGUUGACGCUCUGGUGAUGCUCUGUGAGGAAAACUCGUUGCCAACUAUAUUUGAACUUUGAAGAGGCUCUGGUGAUGCUCUGUUAUGGCGUAUAAUAUCUGGACGGUAAUGCAUACGAUGGCACUUGAAAAUUGAAAGGAAAAUGGAUUGUGGUGUAUAUACUCUUAACUCUUGUUGCAAUUUCUAUUUGAUCAUUUCUAUCUGUAGCGAUGUACUUUGCAAAAGGAAACUAGUAUAGAGCUCAGGUGGCACCCAGCCCAAGCUUGUUUUAGA